GGGUCUGCGGGGACCCGUGCCCGGCCCGGUCCAGCCCCCCUCGACCGCUCCUGCGCGCACUUGCGGCUCCGCGCCCGGCGGGGGAUGGGUCUUUUUGGCCGGCUUCUCCGUGAACCACGAGCCGUAGAGCUCCUGCCUUGAGCUCCAGCCCAGGCUUCCCGAAAUGACGGACUGUAAAGACUGGAAAGAAACCCUUUUCCACCCCAGAGUUGCAUUUGCAACAGGGAAGCAAGCGGAUACCUUAAUUAACAGGUCCAUCUUCAUUUACAAAACAUUUGCUGUAGCUAUCCAUGAUACCACAACAAUAUGACAACUUCAACAAGACAUCAACAGACAUGGUAACAUGGAAGGGGAAAAUCUCACAGGCCUCACGCCUAGACAAAGAACUACAAGCAACAAAUGACAGCUGAGAGGGAGAAUUGCUCUUCUCCGGGUGGAACCCUGUAACCAGUUAUCCAGUACCAAGUGGAUGGCCCUGAAAUCAUAUACAUACAAGGAACACAAUGUGUUCAGCAGAAUGUAUUUAUAUGCAAAUAUAUGUAACAAUAAUAAAGAAAAAGAGGUCAUGAACUUGAGAAGAAGAGGCUUGGGGGGUUGGAGAUGGGGAGGGGUUGGUGUGAGGAAAGGGAAAUGAUGUAAUUAUAUUCUAAUUGUUAAAAUCUCUCUCUUCUCUUCUCCCCCUCCUUCUCUUACUAUUAGCUGUCUAGCAGGGACUUCAUGCUUGUGAACUGAAUAGAUUCUGUCUGGCCCCGUAACCAAUAUGUGCUGGCGAAGAAAGUGUAAGUUUCCAGUGUUUGUUGUAGGACACGGGCAAAGUGACAUGCCAAUCACACCAUUUCAGAGAUCAGGGAUACUGAGCCUCGCAAUCGGCAUUAUUCUCUGGCACCUUUAAAUCAUUCCCACGCAGGUGAGAGGCCGGUCAAGGGGAGAAAACAGGUAUACCUGGGUGCAGUAUUCAAUCCUCUCCAAAAUGAUGGCGAAGUUGGGUCUGUCUUCAGGCUGAUGCUGCCAGCAUUGAGUCAUUAUCCGAUAUCUGGAAGAAGGAGUGAGCAGUUAAUGAAAGUCAGGAGAGGGCCCAAAAGGCUCUGUCUCUCCAGGAUGGGAAGACAGCGAGGUCCAUGUGGUUGAUCUCUGCUGCUCCCUGCUGCGGGACAGGGAAUCUCUCCCAAAUGUAAGUCCCCAUUAAAGAUACUCAGACGGUGUCCAUCAAACGCCACUUCUAUAAAGCCACGUUUAGGAUUGGGCAUUUUAUUCUCCAUCUUUGGUUUUAGGAAGGGGGUGAGAGAAUGCCAUCGGGGACAGAAGAAAAACCACAGGGGGGAUAUUUGAGAGAGAUACAUAGAGUGCAGGGCUGACCGGGACACACAUUCCUAGAGCCUGUUAAGUAGGGCUAUGAGUCCCCAGCCUCCAGCCUGGCAAUGGAUACCUUUCUGGGAUGACUUACUGUGUUUGAAGGAUUGGAAGGCCACCCACCAUACUGAAGUCUGGCAUGCUCUGGGGACAUAUUAAAAAAAGGCUACCACCUUCCUUUAAUAUUAAAGGAGCAUAUACUGAUCCAAAUACUUAAAAACAAGACCAUGCUCAAUUUCUAGUAGGAAGUUCCCAAAGGUCGUACACAGGCCCGGGGCAGUUCUUAGGUGGGUCCAUCCGUCCUCCACUGGUGACAAACUCCAGAACUUCCUGGUUGCUUUUGCUGGGGUAUGGCAUAUACCCGAGAGAAAAUAUUUCCCACAGCAACACUCCAAAAGACCUGGGCGUGGAACAGAAGACACAGAUUUGGAUGCGGACACAUGCACACACACAGACACCUGACUUUUUAGUAUGUUUUCUAUUAGGCCGUUUUCUGUAGCAAGGGCUUUUGUGUUUGUGUAUGUGUGUGUCUAUGAAUGCGUGUACAGCAUAUGUGCUCACACACAUACACAUGGAGGCCAAAGGACAUUAACUUUGUUUUCAAUUUUCAAAACAUUUCAAACAUUGUUUAAACAUCUUUUUGCACUUGGAUUUUAGUUAAUUUUAGUUCAUUUUUUUGUGACAAAGUUCCCUUCUGUGUUGCAGCCUGUCUUUGAAUUUGCUACAUAGUCCAGCUGGCUUCAAACUAAAAAUCUCCUGCCUCUGGACUACUAGAACUUUAAGAUGGACUACCACACCCCACUUUUAUCCAUGUUUAAAGAUUUCCUUAGGAUAAACCAUCUGAAACUAAUAGAAUAGUAAAAUCAAUGAUAUUUCGAGUAUAAUGACGAGAGUUAAAGAACUCAAACGUGAAACCUUCUUGAUCCAUAUUGUUGAUUUUCAGCACCCAAUUCUCUCCGCCUGCUAGUGUUACUCUUCACCCACUCUCAGUAUGCACAUUAAUAAUAACAUUUGCUCAUUUAAAAGAUCCAUCAGAGUAAACUUUUAAUUAAAAUGUUUUACCUUUAUUUUUUGUUUCAUGUGUAUGGGUGUCUUGCCUGCAUGCAUGUCUAUGCACCACAUGCCUGUAGUAACCCAAAGAGGCCAGGAGAGGGCAUCAGACCUCCCAGAACUGGAGCUACAGAUGGUUGUGAGCCACUCUGUAGUUGCUGGAAACUCUACUCAGGUCCUCUGGAAGGGCAGCCAGUGCUCUUGACCACCGGGCCAUCUCUCCAGCACCAGAUCCACCCCCUCCCAAGAAAAAAAAAAUCUCAAGGUGGAAGUGUUUCCAACUAAUUUUUACACUCACUUUAAAAUUAAUUAACUUGGUAACUAAUUGAAAUUAUUAAUUGUAGGAGGGCAUGGCGCGGCACGGUGCGCGUGUGGAAACCAAACAACUUUGAGGAGUCAGUUUUUUUCUCCCAGCAUGUGUUUUCUGGGCGUUGAACUCAGGUGUGGUGGCAAGUGCCGUAACCUGCUGAGCAGUCUCGCCAGGUCUGAUAGGAUGUGGCAAUCCCUGACUUCACAAGGUCGAGUUUGUUAAUCGACUCCUGAUUUCUCUCCUAUAUAUUGUCUGCUCACAUCUCUUAAGUGAUUUUAUCUGUCAGGGCAUAUUAUUUUAGCAUCUCAAUUUGACUUUUGAGUUGUAGACAUCCUUUUUAGGUUUUCAAGAUGUUAGCCCUUUAUCAAAAAUGACAGCGCUUACUUUUUGAGGUGGGGCUGGAGAUCACAUCAGGCUCUUGUACAUGGUAAGCAAGCAACUGAACUAUUUAGCUGGCUUUCCAACCCUACUCGCUUUUUUUAAAAUUUAAUUUUGCGUAAUGGGUCAGGUUGGCCUUGAACUCACUUUGUAGCAAGGCAGGCUUUGAUACUGCAACUUUCCUGCCUCUUAGCUGCUUUAUGAUCUAAUUUUUUAGUGUAUCAAAGGCUUAUAUUUUCCAGUACUUAAAUAUUUUAUUAAGUUUUUGUGAUUUCUUCUGUGUGUUUCACAGUUAUGCAAUUUUCUCUUCAACAAAUAUUAAAUAAAUAUUUACUAUUUUC